UUCUAUUUUGUUGUUUCUGACAUAAGAGGCAUUCCUCCAUGUUUUUCAGUUAUGAUGAGGCUGGACAAUAUACAUUAUUGUGUAGUUAUAUUUUUUUGUAUCUAAGUCGUGUGGUUUCUUAUGCAGGCUGAUGCUUCAGUGGAGGGCUGCCUCCAGUCUUCGGGUCUUGAAAAAUAUGCAAUAACUUUUCAAGCUAAGGAAGUUGAUAUGACUGCACUUGUGCACGUGACUGAUGAGGAUCUAAAAGCUUUAGGCAUACCAAUGGGCCCAAGAAAGAAAAUAAUUCAUGAAUUGGAGUCAAGAAGCUGAUAUUUGGAGAUCCAGCAACGAGUGGUCAUUGCUUGUUGAAUCGGAAGAUGAGUUAAUGGCCAAUCCUAGAAGAUUGCAAGGCUGUACUUUGGCAUAUAAGAGCCUCUGCAUAUGUAGCAAUUCUUAUUGGUAUUUCAUGUUCAGUUUUAUGAACAA